rnacentral:rRNA from 1 species
GAUGAACGCUGGCGGCGUGCUUAACACAUGCAAGUCGAACGGAAAGGCUCCCGCUUGCAGGGGUACUCGAGUGGCGAACGGGUGAGUAACACGUGGGUGAUCUGCCCUGCACUUCGGGAUAAGCCUGGGAAACUGGGUCUAAUACCGGAUAGGACGAUGGUUUGGAUGCCAUUGUGGAAAGUUUUUUCGGUGUGGGAUGAGCUCGCGGCCUAUCAGCUUGUUGGUGGGGUAAUGGCCUACCAAGGCGUCGACGGGUAGCCGGCCUGAGAGGGUGUACGGCCACAUUGGGACUGAGAUACGGCCCAGACUCCUACGGGAGGCAGCAGUGGGGAAUAUUGCACAAUGGGCGCAAGCCUGAUGCAGCGACGCCGCGUGGGGGAUGACGGCCUUCGGGUUGUAAACUCCUUUCGCUAGGGACGAAGCGCAAGUGACGGUACCUGGAGAAGAAGCACCGGCUAACUACGUG